GUACACUCCUGCGGGAGGCAGCAGUGGGGAAUAUUGGACAAUGGGCGCAAGCCUGAUCCAGCCAUGCCGCGUGAGUGAUGAAGGCCCUAGGGUUGUAAAGCUCUUUUGUGCGGGAAGAUAAUGACGGUACCGCAAGAAUAAGCCCCGGCUAACUUCGUGCCAGCAGCCGCGGUAAUACGAAGGGGGCUAGCGUUGCUCGGAAUCACUGGGCGUAAAGGGUGCGUAGGCGGGUCUUUAAGUCAGGGGUGAAAUCCUGGAGCUCAACUCCAGAACUGCCUUUGAUACUGAAGAUCUUGAGUUCGGGAGAGGUGAGUGGAACUGCGAGUGUAGAGGUGAAAUUCGUAGAUAUUCGCAAGAACACCAGUGGCGAAGGCGGCUCACUGGCCCGAUACUGACGCUGAGGCACGAAAGCGUGGGGAGCAAACAGGAUUAGAAACCCCAGUAGUCCCAUG
rnacentral:rRNA from 1 species